UACGAAGGGGGCUAGCGUUGCUCGGAAUCACUGGGCGUAAAGGGUGCGUAGGUGGGUCUUUAAGUCAGAGGUGAAAUCCUGGAGCUCAACUCCAGAACUGCCUUUGAUACUGAGGGUCUUGAGUUCGGGAGAGGUGAGUGGAACUGCGAGUGUAGAGGUGAAAUUCGUAGAUAUUCGCAAGAACACCAGUGGCGAAGGCGGCUACCUGGCCCAAUACUGACACUCAGGUGCGACAGCGUGGGGAGCAAACAGG
rnacentral:rRNA from 1 species